rnacentral:rRNA from 1 species
AGUAACGCGUGGAUAACCUGCCUUACACUGGGGGAUAACACUUAGAGAUAGGUGCUAAUACCGCAUAAGCGCACAGAGCCGCAUGGCUCAGUGUGAAAAACUUCGGUGGUGUAAGAUGGAUCCGCGUCUGAUUAGCUGGUUGGCGGGGUAGAAGCCCACCAAGGCGACGAUCAGUAGCCGGCCUGAGAGGGUGAACGGCCACAUUGGGACUGAGACACGGCCCAAACUCCUACGGAAGGCAGCAG